rnacentral:lncRNA from 1 species
CUGGCAGUACUGUAAGCAUGCCGAACAAAAUGUAUAUUUUGCUCUUUGUUACUCUCUUAUUUCAGAUUCCGCCAAAGAUAACGUUGCCGUUCAUCGUUCCUGGGAUCAAUGGAAUAAAUACCAAAUGAUAAUCGGCGUAAGUGACUAUCCAUCUCCUCCCUCAUUGUGCCUAUACUAGAAAGCAUUAUUAUUAUUAUUAUUAUUAUUAUUAUUAUUAUUAUUAUUAUUAUUAUUAUUAUUAUUAUUAUUAUUAUAUCAAAAUUAAAAGAAGAGUGUCAUUGUUAUUAAGUGAACGAUAUUUCGACAUCUUGUGUGUCUUCAACUGGUUCAAAAAAUAAAUUUGUCAAUCUACUUCAUUUUGUUUAAUACAUAAAGGAUUGAGGUAAUUCCUCUUCUUUGGGUGAAGACUCGCAUAUAUACGCCCUUAAAACUGGGAAACCGGCCCUUAUGAAUCUAAUGACUCGUGAAUGAACUUUAUUCUUUUUUUACAAUAAUUUUGAAGUUCUGUUCUUAAAAUAUCCACGUUCUUCUUAAGUAUUCCACAUAUCCUUAUAUAAAUUUGUUAUUUUCUUGUUUCUUCGUUAUUAUUUCCACUUAGAAGGAAACAUUCAUGUACAGGGUGCAGCAAAAUGAUCUGACACAUUUUAAGGUUUAAUAAAAGUAAAAUAAAUUAAUGAUUGAAAAGUGUGUUUGCAUUUUUGAAAUUUACAUUUAAUGCUAUUUUCUCUCGGUUGUGGACAUAUGUGACAUUUUCUUUCAUUUUGUUUCCAGUUGCUAACAUGAAUUGGAUGGGCGAGCGUUGCGCUUUCAUUGCGGAAACGAUUGUGAAGAACAACGAAUCCGUAACUGCAACGCGAAGAGCGCUCCAUGCUCGCUUCAGGCUUGGCAGACAUGAUCCCGUACCUACUCGAAAUUCUGCAGCAGUAGAAUUCGGCAUUCGGG